GCGGGUAUAGCUCAGCUGGGAGAGCGCAAGACUGAAGAUCUUGAGGUCCUUGGUUCGAUCCCGAGUGCCCGCA